rnacentral:rRNA from 1 species
UGGGGAAUAUUGGACAAUGGGCGCAAGCCUGAUCCAGCCAUGCCGCGUGAGUGAUGAAGGCCCUAGGGUUGUAAAGCUCUUUCACCGGUGAAGAUAAUGACGGUAACCGGAGAAGAAGCCCCGGCUAACUUCGUGCCAGCAGCCGCGGUAAUACGAAGGGGGCUAGCGUUGUUCGGAUUUACUGGGCGUAAAGCGCACGUAGGCGGACUUUUAAGUCAGGGGUGAAAUCCCGGGGCUCAACCCCGGAACUGCCUUUGAUACUGGAAGUCUUGAGUAUGGUAGAGGUGAGUGGAAUUCCGAGUGUAGAGGUGAAAUUCGUAGAUAUUCGAAGGAACACCAGUGGCGAAGGCGGCUCACUGGACCAUUACUGACGCUGAGGUGCGAAAGCGUGGGGAGCAAACAGG